CGCCUCCACCUGAUUGGGUUGAACAAAAGGGAAGUAAAACCAUGUCUCGUUCGUUUGCUGCCCAGCAAACACACACACACACACACUUCCAGCUAGUCACCAUUUUAAACUGGCACAACUGUACCACACUCGAAAUGUGCCGAGGGUAACACAACACGGCCGCGCGCGCACUUCCUGGUUGACCGGACUCAGAAAUAAAAGCAGUCACUGAUCGAGACUGACGCCAAAAGGCGCAAAUGGAGCGUUCACGGCCGCAGGACGCGCAGCAAAUCAAGGGCUCCACUCUGCGGCACAGAGAACGCAGUGACGAGUCCGUGGACAAGAGGCCGUCUGACGUCCCUGCGUCUCAGGAUGAGAAGAAGCCCUUCAGACGGGUGCGAAGUCCUUCCAGACCGAGGGCCUGGUUGUCCAGUUCGUACCAACACAAGUUUGGAGGGCGUUUUCACCAACCGCGUUUUUCCAGGGACGACCCUGGAUUUGGCAAACAUAAAUACCAGCACUUCACCGCCAGGGAUCACUUCCACCGCAGGGAUCAUCCACACAAACCCUAUCGCAUCGACCUGUCGACGCUGAGAGAGAGAGAGAGGCCUGGAGAGAAGCAGCGCUACGAGUCAAAGGAGGGACCUGAUGGGAGCUCACCCCCGAAACAGCGCUGCACUCCGCGAGCCUUCGCAGCCAGGUCCACGUCCAGCAGCGACAAGGACACGCAGCUCACUAUCUGUCAGAGCGACAGGAAGCAAAGCAGGGAGCGAGAUCACAGAGGGGCAAAAAGCAAAGAGAGGGAGCGGAGCAGAGACGGGGAGCUCCCUCCAACCGCCAGCCAGACGGUGGCACGCGAGCGAGCCAUCCAGCAGAAGAGGAGGGAGAUCGACGAGGCCAGUUUGACACCAGGAUAACAGUGUGAUGGAUGCGGGGCUGGUACCUGCUCAGGACUGAGGCCGGGGGGAACCCAGGCGUACUCCUCCAGUGCACAUCCAGAGUCAUCAUCAGAAGUGGAGUUCCUCUGGAAGUCGUACAUCAGCUUGGUGAUGGUCUUCUCCAUCUCCAGAGACAUGGCUGUCACAACAUACUCCCCUCCACAAACCGCUUCAGUGGACACAGGUCUCCCUGUUGGGGCGACAAGAGACGCUUUACAUGAGUUUGGAGUCUCCAGCUGUGAAAAGCAGAUGCGGCGAAAAUACAGAAGAAAAUGUGAGGGACACUUUUUUGUGUUGCAUAUUUGAAGAACAUUAAAAACAGCUACAGCCGCUUUACCUGCUAAAAUCAAACCAGCAUCAACCUGGUCAGGUUAGUGUUAAACCUAUUGAAUGUUGUUGUUGGACAGAAUCGUCGCUGUAACUGAUGAUUAUUUGCUUUCUGCUUGUGUUUGGUGCCUGAUACAUGGUUCACAUGCUAAUACUACCAUAAAUAAAGCAAUAGACUCAUGAAUUGUGCAACUACUGUCGUCAUAACACAACAGCUACAGUACAAUCAUCUAUUCUAACCCUUAUUCUAGUUCUUAUUAGUUCUCCAGGCUUAAAAAGACAAAGGAUCCACCGUGGACCGACUCACACUGACGCCGUGGUUGUAGGAGAGUGGAGUCGACGUGUGCAGCACAGCUAAAGGAAAGUAUCUAAAGACAUCAUGCUUUACCUGAAUAUAGGGAUUAGAGAUCAGCUGGAUCUCUUCUCCUCUUCCCUGUCUAAAAGCAGAGCAGCUGCAACCAACAGACACAUGAAUAAUUAACAGGAUCAGGUAUCGCCUCUUCUACUUAAUAAGUACGAAGAAUAUUUAGCGAGCCGCAAUCACUGCUGUUCACAUGCCAUGUUCCUUUUAUUUUGAAAGCUGAUGAGUUGCUGGGUAGAGUCAAUUACAGUGGAAUGAAAACAACUGCAGUUUCUAAAAGUGUCAGCUCCUAAUGUAAAGCUGUGGUUGACGCAGAGCAACCACAGGGGGAGAAAGGAUGUGAAUACGCAAAGCAGGUCGUUCAUCAAGGUCAGAGCAGUUCAUCGAGGAGAAAACAAGCAGCGCGGCGGUCGGGAGGAGGUGAGCGCCGGCCGUGACACCUCUGAUUCACUCUGAUUCCCCCAUAACAUGAGACAGAUUCAGGCAGCCACACUAUUUCCUGCAGAUUAGAAAUAACAGAAAAAGCGGAGCUUAAGCAGCGGCCAAGGAACAGCAGACAUUUCAACAGACUGAGCCAGUGAGUCAGCCUCCACCGAGCAGCCGAGUACUGUUUAUCUCUAAGAUGGGUGCUGCUGAUUCCUUUGUGAGCGGCGAUAGCAGGUCCAGAUGUGUCCAGAUGCAUUUCUACAGGAUCCACUGUAAAUCCAUCGUUAACUCCUGGUGGCGAACUUGAAUGUCGCGUGUCACGGCUGUGGAAGCGUUUCGCCUCUGACGCUUCGGUGGAAACGAGCGUUUGAAACAUGCGCAGCGACUGGAACGAGGAGAGAACUCAUCCAAACUGUACCUCUGCGCGGCAGCAGUCAGCCGACGGCAGGUCAGCUGAAAACCCGCGCGUUGCUGUGGCAACCGAUUGGGGUGCAGAGUCUCCAACACCCAUUUACGAGCGUCUGAAAAAAUGUAGGAUAUUUAUUGAUUUCGCAAUAAAGUGCGAGCAGAGACAGAG